AUGAAGUCACGGCGCGAAGCCCUCCUAAAGUGCCUUGAGACAGCUACUCAGCACUACAGGAUACCGUGUUUGUUGUGGCUUGGUUUUGUCAGGACGCAGAUGACCAUCGACAUCCUGGGGCGGCAUGCAUACGACAGCAUGGGGCUGUUCACGGCCCGGCAGUGGGAGGCGGUGGAGAAGCUGUGGAACUCGAUCAAGGAGCAGCAGAUCCGGUGCAAGCACGACAAGUCAACGAGCGGGAAGCUGGAUGUGAACGGCUUUGAGAGGCUCCAGGAGAAUUCUAUGCAAAAACGGAUAGGACAUAUCUGGCUAGCUAGUCUCAAGAACGCAAGUGAGAAGAAGAGGAAGAGGAGGUCCUGA
rnacentral:rRNA from 1 species